UCCUCCAAUCGCGGUGCUAGCCAGAAAACUAGCGGCAAUACAUUAGCGCUAGAGGAAGGGCCUCUAGAUCUAUUUAUGGGAAGGAGCAACAGAUCCAAUCAUUAUGGCACUGUGCAAGAAGACUAUAUGGCGCCACUCCAAUGCCACUACUUCAAGAGUAGCUAGAGUCCCCACGAACUCACAACUACCCCUACAGCAAACGGAGAUGUUGCCUCCACCCUCUUAAUUUGCUGUGGGAGUAGAUCCAGAUCAAUUCAUUGCAUUUGUGCACUAAGUGUAAGCUCUGGCCACUAUCGUGCAAGGAAUACAGUGGGCUAACGAGGCCCCUACCAAAGGGCCUUGAUUGGCACCAUGUUAGCCUCCUUCACACAGUCCACAACAUGAGAGGUAGAGUCAGGAUAGCCAGCCUAGAAGUCCCAUAUGGAAAAGGAGAUGAUCCCUAACCCCAC
rnacentral:lncRNA from 1 species